AGAUUUUUCAUGAAUAACACUGCUUUUGAAUGUAUGAGAUAUUAUUUGUUUAUAUAAUUCAGUAUUUUAGCAUUGUAUUGCCUUUUUCCAGUUGAUAUACUGUACUUUAAGAUAUAUAACAGUUUGUUUUAAUGUGCCUUUUCCCACCAAACAGGGUUCCAAGAAAGUUAGAAAGGACCACUGUCCUCAAAAGUCUCUGGAGUACCAGCCUCAGAACACUUCCCCUACUGUGUACUUUACAGAGUCGAGGACAAAUUCUCAUGGCUCCUUUGCUCCAGAGGGAAAUGACUUCGCAUAUUCCUUCCCACCUGAAGAGAAGAGUCGCAAACCCUCCCUUUUCACCAGAAUGUAUAGAGCCAUCACUAGAAGCUUCUCCAACCCAAGAUAAUUUUCCUCAUUAAAUGAGAUUGCAUUCA